rnacentral:rRNA from 1 species
GACGAACGCUGGCGGCGUGCUUAACACAUGCAAGUCGAGCGAGAAACCUUCGGGUUUCUAGCGGCGGACGGGUGAGUAACACGUGGGUAACCUGCCUCAAAGAGGGGGAUAGCCUUCCGAAAGGAAGAUUAAUACCGCAUAAUAUUACAGUUUCGCAUGAAGCAGUAAUUAAAGGAGUAAUCCGCUUUGAGAUGGACCCGCGGCGCAUUAGCUAGUUGGAGAGGUAACGGCUCACCAAGGCAACGAUGCGUAGCCGACCUGAGAGGGUGAUCGGCCAAAUUGGACCUGAGACACGGUCCAGACUCCUACGGGAGGCAGCAGUGGGGAAUAUUGCACAAUGGGCGAAAGCCUGAUGCAGCAACGCCGCGUGAGUGAUGAAGGUCUUCGGAUUGUAAAGCUCUGUCUUUUGGGACGAUAAUGACGGUACCAAAGGAGGAAGCCACGGCUAACUACGUGCCAGCCGCCGCGGUAAUAC